rnacentral:lncRNA from 1 species
GCGUUGUUAGUGAACUUUAAAAUCUUGUUCUGAGCCAUCCACUGUUAAUUCAAAAAUAUCUUUGACAUAUAUAUCCUUUUUAUGAUAUAAACAUAGCAUUGGAACCAAAAAUUUAGUCGGAAAAAAAAUAUGUUGUGCCACUCAUAUCAUAGGAUUUGCCUGAUAUUUACUUGGACAGCUUCUUAAACGUUAAUACACUACAACAAAAUACUGUAACUAACUUUUUG